rnacentral:rRNA from 1 species
GACGAACGCUGGCGGCGUGCUUAACACAUGCCAGUCGAACGGAGUGGCGAACGGGUGAGUAACACGUGGGUGACCUGCCCUCCACUUCGGGGUAAGCCUGGGAAACUGGGUCUAAUACCGGAUAGUGUGGGAUGGGCCCGCGGCCUAUCAGCUUGUUGGUGGGGUAAUGGCCUACCAAGGCGGCGCCGGGUAGCCGGCCUGAGAGGGUGGACGGCCACCUGGGGACUGAGACACGGACCAGUGUGGUACGGGAGGCAGCAGUGGGGAGCAUUGCACAAUGGGCGGAAGCCUGAUGCAGCGACGCCGCGUGGGGGAUGACGGCCGUCGGGUUGUAAACUCCGUCCACCAUCGACGCGGUAGCUGGAGAAGAAGCACCGGCUAACUACGUGCCAGCAGCCGCGGUAAUUC